rnacentral:rRNA from 1 species
GACGAACGCUGGCGGCGUGCUUAACACAUGCAAGUCGAGCGGUAAGGCCCUUUCGGGGGUACACGAGCGGCGAACGGGUGAGUAACACGUGGGUGACCUGCCCUUAGCUCUGGGAUAAGCCUGGGAAACUGGGUCUAAUACCGGAUAUGACUCCAUGACGCAUGUUGUGGGGUGGAAAGCCUUGUGCGGCUAGGGAUGGGCCCGCGGCCUAUCAGCUUGUUGGUGGGGUGANGGCCUACCAAGGCGACGACGGGUAGCCGGCCUGAGAGGGCGACCGGCCACACUGGGACUGAGACACGGCCCAGACUCCUACGGGAGGCAGCAGUGGGGAAUCUUGCGCAAGUGGGCGAAAGCCUGACGCAGCGACGCCGCGUGGGGAUGAC